CUAUUAUUUAAGGAAUAACUGGUAUAUUGUCAUAGUAUAUAAGGGUUUCCUGAAUUUUUUGGAGGAGACUGCCAAAUGCAUUCAAAAGCUUUAACUCACCAUUGUUGAUACUGCACAUGCCAAAUAGAAGGUCACUAAUGUAAUGUUGCAACAUAGUACCGUGUUCAAGUACCCGAAAGAAGAACCAUCUUGAAGUCAUUUUAGAGAAGAACAUAUCAACUAUCUCUUGACAUGUGCCGAAAUUAAAAUGACCAAAAGAAGAAUGAAAAAUGUAAUUAUUAUGAAGAUGUAGUACAUAUAAGUACUUUAAGCACUUAAAUCUUCCCCUUAUGUGCUCAACUUUAUCUAUAAAAGAUCUCCAUCCUAACCGUUUACCUCUGUUUGUUGAGAAUCAUCUUGAACAUGUAAAAACUUACUAUGCCAUAAUCAAAAAUCCUAAAAUCUUAUCCAAAACUUAGAAUCUUUCUCCCACUUGUAUCUGUCUUUGCAAAACACUAUAUAGUAUUCUAAUAUCACACUGGCCCCAAAUAUUAGGCCAAGAGAUCUUUUGAGUGUGAUUUUUGACCCUUAUGAGGAAACUAGCCUUGGUCCUUGUAAAGCAUAAUGUAAUGUCCCUAUCCACCAUAUGUAAAGCAUUUGAUAAAAUAUUUGGUCAUUUAUAUGUCAUUUUUCAAAGGCAACCAUAGAUAUUACUCAAAUAUUGUAAAUUGUAAUUUUAUAUAUUAAUUAAUGAAACAAUAAUUUGGUACAA